AAGUGAAUAGGUGAUGGUGUUCGCCUUUAAACGUUUAUCAAUAAACUAAUGACGCCUACUAAAAA
rnacentral:ncRNA from 1 species